CUUGAAAUAUAUAAGAGGUCCCGCCUGCCCAGUGACCUAGUUAAACGGCCGCGGUAUCCUGACCGUGCGAAGGUAGCGUAAUCACUUGUCUUUUAAAUAGAGACUAGUAUGAACGGCAUCACGAGGGUUACUCUGUCUCCUCCCCCUGAUCAAUGAAACUAAUUUUCCCGUGAAGAAGCGGGAAUGCUUAUAUAAGACGAGAAGACCCUAUGGAGCUUUAAACAAAGUAAUAUCUGCUUUUCCUUUUUCCCCCCCCCAGGACAAUAGCCACCAUUUUAGCAUUAUAAUUACUAGUUUUCGGUUGGGGCGACCGUGGAGCACAAACUAACCUCCAUGAUGAACCAGCAUUGGCCUAAACAAAAAGCUACGACUUUAUGUAUCAGAAGACUGACAUAUAUUGACCCAAUAAUUUUGAUCAACGAAC
rnacentral:rRNA from 1 species